GCCGGGUUAGCUCAGCCGGUAGAGCACCUGAUUUGUAAUCAGGGGGUCGGGGGUUCGAAUCCCUCACCCGGCACCA
rnacentral:tRNA from 2 species